rnacentral:rRNA from 1 species
GCGGCGUGCUUAACACAUGCAAGUCGAACGAUGAAGCCUAGCUUGCUAGGUGGAAGAGUGGCGAACGGGUGAGUAACACGUGAGCAACCUGCCCUUCACUCUGGGAUAAGCACUGGAAACGGUGUCUAAUACUGGAUAUGUCCCAUCACCGCAUGGUGUGUGGGUGGAAAGAUUUAUCGGUGAAGGAUGGGCUCGCGGCCUAUCAGCUUGUUGGUGAGGUAGUGGCUCACCAAGGCGACGACGGGUAGCCGGCCUGAGAGGGUGACCGGCCACACUGGGACUGAGACACGGCCCAGACUCCUACGGGAGGCAGCAGUGGGGAAUAUUGCACAAUGGGCGCAAGCCUGAUGCAGCAACGCCGCGUGAGGGAUGACGGCCUUCGGGUUGUAAACCUCUUUUAGUAGGGAAGAAGCGCAAGUGACGGUACCUGCAGAAAAAGCACCGGCUAACUACGUGCCAGCAGCCGCGGUAAUACGUAGGGUGCMAGCGUUGUCCGAUAUUAUUGGGCGUAAGAGGCUUGUAGGCGGCCUGUCGGGUUUGCUGUGAAAACCCUGAGCUCACCUUCAGGCCUGCAGUGGGUACGSACAGGCUAGAGUGCGGUAGGGSAGAUGAGAAUUUCUGGUGUAGCGUUGGGAUGCGCAGAUAUCAGGAGGAACACCGAUGGCGAAGGCAGAUCUCUGGGCCGUUUCUGACGCUGAGGAGCGAAAGCAUGGGGAGCGAACAGGAUUAGAUACCCUGGUAGUCCAUGCCGUAAACGUUGGGAACUAGAUGUAGGGCCUGUUCCACGGGUUCUGUGUCGUAGCUAACGCAUUAAGUUCCCCGCCUGGGGAGUACGGCCGCAAGGCUAAAACUCAAAGGAAUUGACGGGGGCCCGCACAAGCGGCGGAGCAUGCGGAUUAAUUCGAUGCAACGCGAAGAACCUUACCAAGGCUUGACAUAUACGAGAACGGGCGAGAGAUCGUCAACUCUUUGGACACUCGUAAACAGGUGGUGCAUGGUUGUCGUCAGCUCGUGUCGUGAGAUGUUCGGUUAAGUCCGGCAACGAGCGCAACCCUCGUCCUAUGUUGCCAGCACGUWAUGGUGGGAACUCAUGGGAUACUGCCGUGGUCAACACGGAGGAAGGUGGGGAUGACGUCAAAUCAUCAUGCCCCUUAUGUCUUGGGCUUCACGCAUGCUACAAUGGCCGAUACAAAGGGCUGCGAUACCGCGAGGUGGAGCGAAUCCCAAAAAGUCGGUCUCAGUUCGGAUUGGGGUCUGCAACUCGACCCCAUGAAGUCGGAGUCGCUAGUAAUCGCAGAUCAGCAACGCUGCGGUGAAUACGUUCCCGGGCCUUGUACACACCGCCCGUCAAGUCAUGAGAGUUGGUGAUCCUGGCUCAGAACGGGUUGAC